AGGACGUUAGUUGAAUCACGAUCCAUGGUUAACGUAUCUGGAAAUAACAACACGUUGUUUUUCGGCGGCAACAACACAGUUAACAACUUGGAGACGAAAUCGAAAGGUCAUAGAGAUGAUGCAGCUGGGGUUGCUCGGGCAUCCACCGCGUGUUUUGAUGAUGCGGUGGAACCACCCCAGCAUCGAGGUCCUCGGUAGGCAUCCGAACCACUAACAGCUGUUCGCGAGGACCAAUCUUCGGCGCCCGGGAUAGCUGAA